rnacentral:lncRNA from 1 species
ACGACGAGACUGAGGGGCCACGAGAGGUCGAAUGGGGGUGAGAUGAUGAUGAAGUGACUCUAUUUUCAGAUGGAGGUGGAGAAUAGUGGCUAGGUCUUUGUUGGUUCAUUUUUAUGAACUCCAUUAUUAUCUUUUCUUGUUGUUCAACUUUUUGCUUUAAUGCAUACAUUUCAUUCUGUCAUGCGAUGUUAUGAGAAGACCUUCGUCUAGGCAUGUCACCGUAAACAACAUCAGAGGCAGUGACACCGCAACCAUACAUCCUUAUUCUCCCCCGUUUAUCUUGUCCCACAACUUGAGAAAAAAUGUCAUUUGGGCCACUAUCAUUUGCAUUAUCUGGAACACUUAUUAAUUCUUUCAUCUUACG